CCUCUGGAAAGCCCGGCGACCGUCACCGACGGAAGCUGGCACCGACGGAGUAAGGCGCGAAACGCCCGCGCUGAAUCUCUCAGGUCAUCGGACAGAGG
rnacentral:ncRNA from 2 species